GAUGAACGCUAGCGGCAGGCUUAACACAUGCAAGUCGAGGGGUAACAUUGGUGCUUGCACCAGAUGACGACCGGCGCACGGGUGCGUAACGCGUAUAGAACUUACCUUUUACAGAGGGAUAGCCUUUAGAAAUGAAGAUUAAUACCUCAUAGUAUCGAGACUUGGCAUCAAGACUUAAUUAAAGAUUUAUCGGUAAAAGAUGGCUAUGCGUUCUAUUAGCUAGUUGGUUUGGUAACGGCAUACCAAGGCUACGAUAGAUAGGGGUCCUGAGAGGGAGAUCCCCCACACUGGUACUGAGACACGGACCAG
rnacentral:rRNA from 1 species